rnacentral:rRNA from 1 species
CCUACGGGGGGCAGCAGUCGAGAAUCAUUCACAAUGGGGGAAACCCUGAUGGUGCGACGCCGCGUGGGGGAAUGAAGGUCUUCGGAUUGUAAACCCCUGUCAUGUGGGAGCAAAUUAAAAAGAUAGUACCACAAGAGGAAGAGACGGCUAACUCUGUGCCAGCAGCCGCGGUAAUACAGAGGUCUCAAGCGUUGUUCGGAAUCACUGGGCGUAAAGCGUGCGUAGGCUGUUUCGUAAGUCGUGUGUGAAAGGCGCGGACUCAACCCGCGGACGGCACAUGAUACUGCGAGACUAGAGUAAUGGAGGGGGAACCGGAAUUCUCGGUGUAGCAGUGAAAUGCGUAGAUAUCGAGAGGAACACUCGUGGCGAAGGCGGGUUCCUGGACAUUAACUGACGCUGAGGCACGAAGGCCAGGGGAGCGAAAGGGAUUAGAUACCUGGGUAGUC